ensembl:lncRNA
GGAGCGCUGGGCGGGGUCCCCUCUUAAGGAGAUGCGAAAGGGCGCCGGCCUGAGCCCCGCCUGCGUGCACGCCUUCUCCCCUGCGAGGCCCGUAGCACCAGUUUCUGGUGCAUCCCUUACCACAGACAUCACACCACAAGACCGAGGGGGGCAUCCUGAGUCACCGAAGGAGCUCCUCACAUCCUUUAUCGAAGCAUCUUUGUGGAGCAAUGAGUAAAAGGAUGUUCACACGUCAGUACCAGCACAACAGAAAUCCCCAGAGGUCCACGUUGCUGAGGAGCCCAGGCACUAGAUCCCCAGGCGAGCCAGGCAUCUGUGACCCAGGGCCAGGAUGGCCUCAGCCUCAGAAAGAUCCCUAGCCUCUUCCACCAUUUGAGGACAUGGUGAAAACGCACCAGCUAUGAACCAGGAGGAAGACUCUUUCCAGGAGACCACCAUACUGGCACCUUGAUCUUGGACUUCCAGCCUCCAAAACGCUGGGUCCACUUUGAGGACAGUAACUUAUCAAAGGUAUCAGCAAAACCAGCAAACUGGGGAGAAACAGCACCAAAGACAGCAACAGACUCUGAUAUUUUGGGAGCUCAAGCAGAGGGGAAGGAAAAUGGCAAAUGCUCUGUGACAUCCUAAGUUCUCAAGCAACUCUCCACCAGCCCCAUUUCUCUCCCUGAAAGAACUGAGGAACACACUGAGUGGAACUCAAGUUACCUCAUGAGAGAGCUGAGAUCACAAGGCAGCUGAGUAACCUGAAUUCCAAUGGGAAACAAGCUCCUUAAAGGAGCGGUGGAGAACAUGAACUUUUCGACCUGUGCGAGAUUAGUGGAAAAACUGGUGACCACCAUACAAACAGGCUUCCAGAGGAUCCUCACAAAAAGACUGGAGACAGGCAAAAGCCUUAAAUCACUGAGGGGAGGGGCAGCAAACCUCUUACCAAAGACCCAUCGCAUCUAAGGGGAGUAGAAGCAAAAUCCACCUGCUUCUGGAGGAGAGGCAAGAAACCAUCUUGGAUCUUGAAUCUUACCAAUCAGAGUUCUGCUCCCACUGGUGGAGAGGCAAGAAACUCCUGCACAAGACCAACCUCAGAAACAAGACAGAGUUUGGUUGCCAUUGUCAGGAUGUGUAGACAUAUUGAGGAAGCUCCACCUCCAAGACUGUAUAGGGCCUGACAAAGAAUCAGGCUGGAACAGGACAGCAGAGAAUUCCCCCUGCAACAGCAUUCUACAGAUGGAUGAGGAGCAAGAGUGUGGGCAGAGACCGAAUGCUGGAGGAGGAGCAGAAACCAUCAGAGAAACCCUCCAGCACUCUGUCUCCCAUCCCAAGCACCAGGGAUUAGUAGCCCAACUGGUAAAAGAAUUUGAAGCCUGUGGUACACAAAAAGCAACAAAAGCAAAAACAAUACCCAAAUAGUCAGCUCAACUCCUGGCUGUAUUGACUCAACCCCACACUAGUGGUCUGACAGAAGAAGAAGUAUUCCCAUAUCUAGGAGUUAAUACUGUAUACCUUAGUCUCUACUGUCCUACAUAUGAUGUGUAGCAGUCGAUAAAAAAUUACCAGACUAGGGUAUGGCUUGGUGGCUUACUG